UUAUUAAAAAAAUUUGAAAAAAAAUUAAAAAAAUUUUAAAAAAUUUCCAUUCAUUUUUAUUUUUUUAUUACUUAUUUCGUUCGCAUUGUCGUUUUCCCAUCCAACAUCUCCUCCCUUUCCCUUCUAUCCCAAUUGCAACCACAUAACCACCAUUGUUGUUCCUCCAACGACGACCACAACCCCGUUUCCUCCAUCCCCAUCUAAGCCUUUACCCCUCCGUCUUUCCUCUAUUUUUCCCUUCAUAAUACCGUCGAUCACCUACCACCCC
rnacentral:lncRNA from 1 species